rnacentral:misc_RNA from 1 species
UUAAGUUCAGCGGGUAACCUCGUCCGACCCGAGGCCAACCAUGUAGAGUUGGGGGGUUUCGAGGCGGGCCCUCCCGCGAGCCGACCCUAGACGCUGCGCUGUGACUUCGUCUGGGAGCCCUGGGGGGCCGCCGCUGGUUUUCGGGGGUGCCGCUCGUGGGUCGAGUGGCAUCCCCCCAACACCGGGAGCGCUCCAGGCAG